CAAAACACAAGGUAGAAAGUGUACUAAAAAGUGUUUGUACGACUCAUUAACACUAUGAUUAUAUUCAUCCUUAUUCUUUCUGCUGUGUCAAGAAAGGCAAUACUCCAAACAACAGGUAGGUUAAGAUUUUUUUUUCAUUUUGUAUGCCUGUUAACUAUUGAUAAGUAAAUUCUUGUUUAAGUACUGAUCAACGACUUCAUGUAUACAAUAUGAUACUGUACACAAAACAUUUUCAUACUGGUGAGAGUGUAUCCCAAAUACAUAUUUUUCUCUAAAAUUAGCCCUGGACAUUUUUCCAGCCAAGAUCUUUCGGACUGCAGGAACAAUAAUGGAGGGUAGUGACCUGGAGUUAAAAUGUAGUACACAUGGACGCAAAGAUGAACAAAAAAUUGUACAUGUUUAUUUGUGCAAGAAUGGUGUUGCUGUGGAAAAAAUCAUGAAUAGAAAAGAUGAUACUAUUUUCACCCUGAGAAAUAUCGACAGACAACAGAGUGGUAAUUACAGCUGUGUGUUCUCUAAUAUCUUGUACACACUCUCUGAAGUCCGAGAGAAAGGGGACAAUUCCAUUUACAUCCAGGUGAUCGAUCGGAUUCUCCCUGCAGUCAUAUCAAUUACAGGCUCAAACUCAGCAAAACAGGGAGAUGUUGUGGAGUUUAAGUGUACUAUUUCAGACCCCAUACAUACCAGUGAAUUAGUUCACUCUUACCUCUGCAUGAAUGGAACUCAUGUUCAGGUGCAGGUUUUUGAUGUUUAUAGAAUGGAGGCAACUUUUACUAUUAAGGAUGUUAAACUGAAUGACAGAGGGAACUACAGCUGUGUGCUUGACCUGCAACCAAAACGCAAUGAAUUUACAGAGAGGCAAUUAUAUGGAAGCAAUACAGCAUUUCUUCAGGUUGAUGUGUGGAGUUAUCAAAUCCCAGUGGUCAUGUUCUGUGUCUGUCUUCUGCUGGUCUUUUUACUGAUUGUGGGCAUUUACUGGCUGAUCAGAAAACAAGGUCAGAACCAUGUAAUUCUGUCCGUAAUAUGUGUACUACAAUUCGGAAUUAUAAUCUAUAUACUACUUUCUCUUUUGUCAGGGGUUGGGAAUCUGUGUUGUAGAAGAACACCACCAAAUGAUGUUCAAUUAUCAGAUGAAAGGGAAAGUAACAUUUCAAACAUGGAGGAAGAAUCCUGUGAUGAAUUUGACAGUUUGUCAGAGGAAGAUAUCUCAUACCAAAAUGUUCCGGAUUUAACACAGACCAAUGAUAUGAUAGAAGAUCCAGGACAAGAGGCUGAUGACACAUACCAAGAUAUUUUGGAUUUUACCAGGAUCAAGCAUACAGUUGAAGUUCCAUGUCAAGGUGAAUUCAAUGUUUUAAACUAUAUUUUCCACAGUUAGCAUAUUGAAGGCUUUUGGAUUUCUGUGUAUGUCAGCCCUUUAUGUCCAGAGGCGGCUCUUGGCAGGUGGUGUAGUAGAGCAGGACCAAAUGGUGACAGAAUAUUCAACAGACAAGUAUUGUGAUUUUGAAAGCAAUUACAAUUAUUGCUCAAAGAAAUAAAACUUAUACUACUCUUUUGCUCUGUUAACAUGCAUGGCAAUAAUAAAUAAUACUGGCAGGUGGAAAUCAUGGGUUUAGGAUGGUGGCCCAGAAAUGCCAAACACAACCGCUAAUACAAGUACAUCCCAGAAUGCAAAAACUUACCACUAAUACGAUGAUACACUCCCAAUAGAAAUGAUUCUCCCAAUAAUGCUAAAUAUAACCAAUAUUAUGAUUACAUACUCCCAAUUCACAGAGAACAAUACCCCUUCCCCAAAUAUGAACGCACCGCCGCAAUACCGCAAAAAUGUACCACUAGUAUGAUGACACAGUCCCCAUUGAAUACAUGGCCAUUUCUAUAUAAUUUCAUUGUUUUAACUGUACAAUGGCCCAUGGGAGUGUUUUUAAGUGCUUGCUAUUUUUUGUCCUGUUACAAUUAUCUUUAUUAAGGAUUUGCACAACCAGUGCACCAUGGC
rnacentral:lncRNA from 1 species